GUUGUGAGGUUAAGCGACUAAGCGUACACGGUGGAUGCCCUGGCAGUCAGAGGCGAUGAAGGACGUGCUAAUCUGCGAUAAGCGUCGGUAAGGUGAUAUGAACCGUUAUAACCGGCGAUUUCCGAAUGGGGAAACCCAGUGUGAUUCGUCACACUAUCAUUAACUGAAUCCAUAGGUUAAUGAGGCGAACCGGGGGAACUGAAACAUCUAAGUACCCCGAGGAAAAGAAAUCAACCGAGAUUCCCCCAGUAGCGGCGAGCGAACGGGGAGCAGCCCAGAGCCUGAAUCAGUGUGUGUGUUAGUGGAAGCGUCUGGAAAGGCGUGCGAUACAGGGUGACAGCCCCGUACACAAAAAUGCACAUACUGUGAGCUCGAUGAGUAGGGCGGGACACGUGGUAUCCUGUCUGAAUAUGGGGGGACCAUCCUCCAAGGCUAAAUACUCCUGACUGACCGAUAGUGAACCAGUACCGUGAGGGAAAGGCGAAAAGAACCCCGGCGAGGGGAGUGAAAAAGAACCUGAAACCGUGUACGUACAAGCAGUGGGAGCACGCUUAGGCGUGUGACUGCGUACCUUUUGUAUAAUGGGUCAGCGACUUAUAUUCUGUAGCAAGGUUAACCGAAUAGGGGAGCCGAAGGGAAACCGAGUCUUAACUGGGCGUUAAGUUGCAGGGUAUAGACCCGAAACCCGGUGAUCUAGCCAUGGGCAGGUUGAAGGUUGGGUAACACUAACUGGAGGACCGAACCGACUAAUGUUGAAAAAUUAGCGGAUGACUUGUGGCUGGGGGUGAAAGGCCAAUCAAACCGGGAGAUAGCUGGUUCUCCCCGAAAGCUAUUUAGGUAGCGCCUCGUGAAUUCAUCUCCGGGGGUAGAGCACUGUUUCGGCAAGGGGGUCAUCCCGACUUACCAACCCGAUGCAAACUGCGAAUACCGGAGAAUGUUAUUACGGGAGACACACGGCGGGUGCUAACGUCCGUCGUGAAGAGGGAAACAACCCAGACCGCCAG
rnacentral:rRNA from 1 species